rnacentral:lncRNA from 1 species
CAGUAAAAUCUGAACAGAGCAGAUCUCAAGCUGGAAAACAAAAAAAGGUUCAGGUAGACAAUGAUAAAGAGAUGAACUUCGCAGCAACAAAAUCUCCUCUUCGCAGCUACAUUUGCAGACGAAAGAUUAUUGAAGUUUGAGCUCAGCUGUUGGUUUUACUACCACCACCAACCACUUCGUUGGAAGCCUUUAUCGCAUCAGCAGUCAUAAGAGCAACCAUUGCCCUGUGAAUUGCCACCUCUGCCAUAGAAUGCAAGUUGUUAGCCCUGUGUCUCUUAAACUUAGCUGUGUUACGUACACGGAGAGAAGCAUUUUGUGCUUCGCGCAGUCUAAACUCCUCAUCCAAUUGCUGCGGCACGCAGUCUGAACCAUCCAAUUGUUCAACCCCAUGCUUCUGAGGGCAAUCCGGUGCGUACUGCCUGUGACCUGGUAAGUCAUGAUUGAUCAUUCGAACUCCGUUUCUUUUUUCUGACACAGGCAUUCUCUGACUGUUAGAACCUGACGGCUGUGAACCAUUAUUAUACAUAAAUGACCCAUGUUUCUUGGACUUGCUCCUGUGAAGUUUCUGCAUAUGAUUUCUGUAGUAUGCAUCAUUGCUCAUAGAAUAAUAUUUCAUGCUGGCAGCAUCUUGUGGGGAGAAUACUCUAGGUGACGUCAGAGGCAAUGGAGAAUCAUCCAAAGAAUCAUAACUAUGGCCUGGGUAUACAAACCUUUCAUCAGUAAAUGCCAGGCCAUUUGGUCUUCUACCUGAGUGUGGAAGCCAUCAUGAUAUCUAAAACGGUUUGUAUGCCCAGAGACUGA